rnacentral:rRNA from 1 species
GACGAACGCUGGCGGCGUGCCUAAUACAUGCAAGUAGAACGCUGAAGAGAGGAGCUUGCUCUUCUUGGAUGAGUUGCGAACGGGUGAGUAACGCGUAGGUAACCUGCCUGGUAGCGGGGGAUAACUAUUGGAAACGAUAACUAAUACCGCAUAAAAUGGAUUAUCGCAUGAUAAUCCAUUGAAAGGUGCAAAUGCAUCACUACCAGAUGGACCUGCGUUGUAUUAGCUAGUUGGUGGGGUAACGGCUCACCAAGGCGACGAUACAUAGCCGACCUGAGAGGGUGAUCGGCCACACUGGGACUGAGACACGGCCCAGACUCCUACGGGAGGCAGCAGUAGGGAAUCUUCGGCAAUGGACGGAAGUCUGACCGAGCAACGCCGCGUGAGUGAAGAAGGUUUUCGGAUCGUAAAGCUCUGUUGUAAGAGAAGAACGAGUGUGAGAGUGGAAAGUUCACACUGUGACGGUAUCUUACCAGAAAGGGACGGCUAACUACGUG